rnacentral:piRNA from 1 species
UGAGAUGAAGCAUAAGGUCUGUCGAU